CGGAGAGGCAUGGAUCGAGAGAGGGUUCAAUAGUCAUAGUUUUGAUGAAUGGUAAUACAGCUAAUGACUUAACCUGUGACCCAGUUGAAUCUAGCAGUCACCUCUGCACAGCUACUCCAGGGCCAGAGUCUCGUUCAGCCAGAGUUUGCAGGUCCUCUUACACAUCAGAAGCACCUCAUAUAUGGGUCGCGGGAGGAGGGGAGGCGAUGCGAGUGUUCCUGUUUGCGUUCGCUUGCGCCAGCUUCUCCAGCCCCUCAAGCACAAAUGGGGAAAAGUCAGCUAGGAUUAUUGACUAGAAACACUACGUUAGAAGCCGGGGCUGCCCCAGCAACUGGACAGGUGCCAGCUCUGAUCUCCAGGCUGGGACCUGCAGGCAUACUUGGAGACAUUAAACCAUGAAGCAAAGAACCAAAACCUUUCACCAAUUUUAUUUGAUCUAGAAACAAUUAAGUAAAAGUGCUGAAGUCCAUGUUAUAUGGGGAACAGGAAACUUCAAAAUAAGCAGAGAAAGCUGGGGGCUGGUUUCCAUGGUAGCAGCUUGCAGUAAAGCCUAAUUCCUUGUGACAAAGAGGUCAUCUUCCUUUUCAAAUGUGUUUAUGAUCCCUUUGUGCAUUGUAUUUUGGCAUAAAGGCUUCUAUGCCCUGUCAGGGCUCCGCAGGCAGCUCUAUGACUCUCAAGGGGGUUUAUUGCCUCCUUGGUAUAAGAAUAGCAGAAAGAAGCCAAACUAGUGCCAGUGUGACAAAAGAUAACCUCACGGGCUUGCUGUUGCUUUCUUUCUGUUAACACAUAAAUCUUGCUAUGCACUGAAAUAAUUAAAAAAUGAGAGAUUCUGGGAUAACUUUGAUUUUGUGUUUUUUCAACCUUUUACAUAAAUUGAAACACUACAUGCAAACAUGUACAAGAAGAUUGAUUCAGUGUGAGGAUAUAAUUAUUUUUUGCCUCACUUUCCACAUAAUUU
ensembl:lncRNA